rnacentral:rRNA from 1 species
GUAGGUGGCAAGCGUUGUCCGGAAUUAUUGGGCGUAAAGCGCGCGCAGGCGGUCCUUUAAGUCUGAUGUGAAAGCCCACGGCUCAACCGUGGAGGGUCAUUGGAAACUGGGGGACUUGAGUACAGAAGAGGAAAGCGGAAUUCCAAGUGUAGCGGUGAAAUGCGUAGAGAUUUGGAGGAACACCAGUGGCGAAGGCGGCUUUCUGGUCUGUAACUGACGCUGAGGCGCGAAAGCGUGGGGAGCAAACAGGAUUAGAUACCCUGGUAGUCCACGCCGUAGACGAUGAGUGCUAAGUGUUAGGGGGUUUCCCGCCCCUUAGUGCUGCAGCUAACGCAUUAAGCACUCCGCCUGGGGAGUACGGCCGCAAGGCUG